UCUGCGGGCCCGCAUGGAGGUAUAGGCUCAGUGGGUGGGACGGGGAGCUCCGCAUCCGGUGGCAGGGUCCGGGGAAGGGGCGGCAGGCGCCAUGUCUGGCCGUGAAGGUGGCAAGAAGAAGCCCCUGAAGCAGCCCAAGAAGCAAGCCAAGGAGAUGGACGAGGAAGAUAAAGCAUUCAAGCAGAAACAGAAGGAGGAGCAAAGGAAACUCGAGGAGCUAAAAGCGAAGGCCGCGGGGAAAGGCCCCCUGGCCACAGGUGGAAUUAAGAAAUCUGGCAAAAAGUAAGCUGUUCCUUGUGCCUGAGGCAAUGAUGAUCCUUAGUUCCAUUCCUGUUUAAACAUCUGGAUUAAACACCUGGAUUCCCUGCCAUAACAUCUGUUGCCACCUAUAGCUAGAAUGAAAUGUUGUCUUGGAAACUAUUGUACAUUUAAGAAUAAACUUUUGUAAAAAAAAAAAAAAAAAUCAUAC